rnacentral:lncRNA from 1 species
UCGUGCUAUUUAUUCCUAACUAAGAAUGAUUAUAAUCAGUGCCGUGUUUAUAUGUUUCCCUCUUUUCGCCCCUUUUCUAUUUUUGAUAUUUUAAUCAAAAAUUCAAAAUAUCAAACUUUCAAAAAGUGAAAUAAUCAAAAUUGCACGUUCAUUUCAGUAUUUUAAAAGUUUGAUCAAAUUUCUAAACCAUCAAAUUUAAAAACG